GCUGCAGCUCAGUGGUAGAGCACUUGCCUCACAUGUAUGAGGCACUGGGUUCCAUCCUCAGCAGCA
rnacentral:tRNA from 1 species